rnacentral:rRNA from 1 species
AGAGUGGCGACCGGCGCACGGGUGAGUAACACGUAUCCAACCUGCCGCUUACUCGGGGAUAGCCUUUACGAAGAAAGAUUAAUACCCGAUGGUAUAAGAGUUCGCAUGUUCUCGUUAUUAAGAAUUUCGGUAAGCGAUGGGGAUGCGUUCCAUUAGAUAGUUGGCGGGGUAACGGCCCACCAAGUCUACGAUGGAUAGGGGUUCUGAGAGGAAGGUCCCCCACAUUGGAACUGAGACACGGUCCAAACUCCUACGGGAGGCAGCAGUGAGGAAUAUUGGUCAAUGGACGAGAGUCUGAACCAGCCAAGUAGCCGUGAAGGAUGACUGCCCUAUGGGUUGUAAACUUCUUUUAUAAGGGAAUAAAGUGAGGGACGUGUCCCUUUUUGUAUGUACCUUAUGAAUAAGGAUCGGCUAACUCCGUGCCAGCAGCAGC